rnacentral:rRNA from 1 species
AUGCCUUCAAAUUCAACUAAAAACAAGGGUUCUUUGGUUGUCAAAAUAGUUAUCCCAAUAGCCAUAAUGGUGUCACUUGCUAUGGUCAUAUUUGGCUCUUGGCUUUGGAGAGGAAAAUACAUGAGCAAAUAUAUAUCUCAACCAUCAUUUGCUACAAAAUUUCCCAAAGUUUCUUACAAUGAUCUAGCCAGAGCAACACAGGGAUUGUCAACGUCCAACUUAAUUGGCGGAGGGAGAUACAGUUAUGUAUAUCAAGGAAAACUAGUUGAAGAUGAUAUUGAUGUGGAAGUUUUCAACCUAGAGACAAGAGGAGCACAAAAGAGCUUCAUCGCAGAAUGUAAUGCAUUGAGAAAUGUGCGACACCGUAAUUUGGUUCCUAUCCUAACUGUGUGCUCAAGCAUUGAUUGUAAUGGGGCUGAGGGAGGGGCCCUAGUGUAUGAGUUCAUGCCACGAGGGGAUUUACAUAAACUACUAUAUUCAACCCAAGACUCUGAAGGCUCUUCAAAUAACCUUAUUACAAUGGCUCAAAGGAUAAGCAUUAUCAUGGAUGUAGCGGAUGCAAUGGAGUACCUACACCAUAACAACCAAGGAACAAUGGUUCAUUGCGAUCUGAAGCCUAGUAACAUUCUUUUGGAUGAUAAUAUGACAGCUCAUGUUGGAGAUUUUGGCCUGGCGAGAUUCAAAAUUUCUUCCACAACAUUACUUAUUGGUAUAACAAACUCUUCUUCUGUUGCACUCAUGGGGACAAUCGGAUACGCUGCUCCAGAAUAUGCAGGAGGUGGUCAUGUUUCAAUUGCCGCGGAUGUCUAUAGCUUUGGUGUCAUUCUUCUCGAGACAUUCAUUCGAAGAAGCCCGACUGAUGACAUCUUUAAGGAUGGACUGGGCAUAGUAAAGUUUGUAGAGAUAAACUUCCCCAAUAGGGUAUUUGAUAUUGUUGAUCCCCAAAUACUACAAGAGUUGGAGCUUUGCCAGGAAACUCCAAUUGCCAUGAAGGAAAAAGGUCUACGUUCUUUGGCGUCUAUGCUAAACAUUGGCCUUUGCUGCACCAAGUCAUCUCUGGGUGAACGUAUCAACAUGCAGGAGGUGGCUGCCAAGCUACAUAGAAUCAGGGAUGCAUAUCUCAAAGAAGACUGA